rnacentral:rRNA from 1 species
CUGGCUCAGGAUGAACGCUGGCGGCGUGCUUAACACAUGCAAGUCGAACGAAGCUCCUUCACUUGAGGAUUUCGGUCAAGAGGGAAGGAUGACUUAGUGGCGGACGGGUGAGUAAUACAUGAGCAACCUGCCCUUCAGAGGGGGACAACAGUUGGAAACGACUGCUAAUACCGCAUGAAGUACGGACAUCGCAUGGUGACCGUAUCAAAGAUUUAUCGCUGAAGGAUGGGCUCAUGUCUGAUUAGCUAGUUGGUGAGGUAAUGGCUCACCAAGGCUGCGAUCAGUAGCCGGACUGAGAGGUUGGCCGGCCACAUUGGGACUGAGAUACGGCCCAGACUCCUACGGGAGGCAGCAGUGGGGAAUAUUGGGCAAUGGACGCAAGUCUGACCCAGCAACGCCGCGUGAAGGAAGAAGGCUUUCGGGUUGUAAACUUCUUUUAGCAGGGACGAAGAAAGUGACUGUACCUGCAGAAUAAGCUCCGGCUAACUACGUGCCAGCAGCAGC